rnacentral:rRNA from 1 species
GACGAACGCUGGCGGCGUGCUUAACACAUGCAAGUCGAACGGAAAGGCACUGCUUUUGUGGGGUGCUCGAGUGGCGAACGGGGGAGUAACACGUGAGUAACCUGACCUUGACUUUGGGAUAAGUUCAGGAAACUGGGGCUAAUAUAAGAUAGGAGAUCCUGCAGGAGGGAGGGGGGUGGAACGUUUCGGCGGUUGGGGAUGGACUCGCGGCUUAUGAGCUUGCUGGUGGGGUAGUGGUUUACCCAGGGAUGGACGGGUCGGCGGCCUGGGUGGGUGGCCGGCCACAUUGCUACUGAGAUACGGCCCAGUCUCCUACGUGAGGCAACGGUCGGGAAUAUUGCACAGUGGUCGGGAGUCUGUGGCAGCAACGCUGCGUUCGGGAUGCCGGCCUUCGGGUUGUGAACCGCUUUCGCCUGAGACGAAGCGUGUGUGACGGUAAUGGGUAAAGAAGCACCGGCUAACUACGUG